AUGGGCGCAAGCCUGACGCAGCAACGCCGCGUGAGGGAUGAAGGCCUUCUGGGUUGUAAACCUCUUUUAUCAAGGAAGAAGAGCUGAUGGCACUUGCUGAAUAAGCCACGGCUAAUUCCGUGCCAGCAGCCGCGGUAAUAAUA
rnacentral:rRNA from 1 species